rnacentral:rRNA from 1 species
GAGAGUUAAACAGUACGUGAAAUUGUUGAAAGGGAAACGAUUGAAGCCAGUCGUACCUUCGGGUAAUCAGCCUUUCGGGUGCGAUUCUGUGGAGUGUGAGGAGUUAAACACCUUCAUGUUUUGCAUAUUCGUACUCUUGGGUGUACUUGCCCGUGUGGUUGGUUAACAUCAAUUUUGGUGGUCAUAAAAUGACUGGAGGAAUGUAGCUUCGAUCUCGUAUUGAAGUGUUAUAGCCUUCGGUAGAUGUGAUGAUCGAGAUUGAGGAUUGCAACGGAUACCCUUCGGGGCUACCUGUCUGAUCUCUGAUCGUUGCUCUGGUGCCGAAAGCUUGCUUACGGUUAUCAAAGUCGAUGGUCAAUAGGUUAGAACGGGUUAAAUUCGUUAAGGAUGUUGACGUAAUGGCUUUAAACGA